AACGCAUAUGGCACCUCUUGGUUCCUACUAAGAGGUAUGCCUGUUUGAGAAUCAUUCAUCACUUUUGAUCCACUGGAUCACACAUCCACUUUGGUUGUUGAUCCCGGUUGGUCAAGACAUGGACCUUCAUCACUGAUCGUCUUGAAUUCAGACACGGGUUGUUCGUGAGAGUGGAAGCCAAUUCUAUUGAUCGACCAAUCCCGCUCAUACCCCAGUGAUCUCAAAUCAGGCAAGACUACCCGCUGAACUUAA
rnacentral:misc_RNA from 1 species